GGUUGUAUAGUGUAGCGGUUAGCACGCGAGAUUUUGAUCAUUCAAAUAUUCUCGAGUCCGUGAGUUUACUCUAAUCAUCUUCCGAUGGUAUCUAAUUCUAACUCAUUUCAGUGGGUUCGAGCCCCAGUACGACCU
rnacentral:tRNA from 1 species